GGACCCAUGGUGUAGCCUGGAUAUCACUCUAGCCUCCGGAGCUGGAAACCCGUGUUCGAAUCGCGGUGGGUCCGCCA
rnacentral:tRNA from 2 species